rnacentral:rRNA from 1 species
UACGGGGGGGGCAAGCGUUGUUCGGAAUUACUGGGCGUAAAGGGCGCGUAGGCGGCUCGACAAGUCCCGCGUGAAAGCCCCCGGCUCAACUGGGGAACUGCGCGGGAAACUGUCGGACUUGAGUUCGGGAGAGGGAAGCGGAAUUCCGGGUGUAGCGGUGAAAUGCGUAGAUAUCCGGAGGAACACCGGUGGCGAAGGCGGCUUCCUGGACCGACACUGACGCUGAGGCGCGAAAGCUAGGGGAGCAAACGGG